GUGCCUAGAAAAGAGAGACGUGUUUUCAUUAAAAUGUGAAAAUUUUCCAUUGUCUUCAUUUAUGGCAGUAAUAUGAAAAGUAUUUACCUGGGGCUGGCCCAGUGGCGCAGCGGUUAAGUGUGCAUGUUCUGCUUCUCAGCAGCCCUGGGUUCGUCAGUUCAGAUCCCAGGUGAGGCCAUGGCACUGCUUGGCAAGCCAUGCUGUGGGAGGCAUCCCACAUAUAAAGUAGAGGAAGAUGGGCACAGAUGUUAGCUCAGGGCCAGUCUUCCUCAGCAAAAAGAGGAAUGGCAGUAGUUAGCUCAGGGCUAAUCUUCCUCAAAAAAAAAAAAAACGUAUUUACCUGAGGAUCCUAAGAAUUUUCACUCACAGUGAGAUACCACUUCACAUACAAGACAGUUGCUAUAAUAAAAAAGUCAGAUAAUGACAAUUGUUGGCAGGGAUGCUGAGAAAUUUGAACCCUCACAGAUUGCUGCUAGGAAUAUGCAACAGUGCAGCCAUUUUGGAAAAUAGUUUGGCAGUUUCUUAAAAUGUUAAACUUUGAUAUUUUAUGUCAUCCGGCAAUUCCACUUCUAGGUAGCCUACCCAAGAAAAAUAAAAAUUCAUGUCUACACAAAGACUUGCCCAUGAAUGUUCAUAGCAGCAUUGUUCAUAAUAGCUGAAAAGUAAAAAGAAAGCAAAUGUCCAUUGGCUGAUGAACAGAUGAACAAAACAUGGCAUAUCCAUGCAAUGGAAUACUAUUUGCAAUAAAAAGGGACGAAAUGCCGAUAUAUGCUAUAAUAUUGUUGAACCUGAAAAACAUUAUGCCAACUGAGAGAAGCCAGAUGUAAGAGAUCACAUAUCGUAUGAUCUCAUUAAUAGCAAGUGUCUAGAAAAGGCAAAUAUAGACAGACAAAAAGUAGAUUAGUUAUCGCUUGAGGCUAGAAGUGAGAACAGUGAGUGACUGCAAGUGGACACGAGGUCUCUUUUGGGGUGAUGGAAAUGUUCUAAAAUUAGAUUGUGGUGAUGGUUGCACAACUGUAAAUUUAUUAAAAAUUGUUAAAUUGUGUACUUAAAACAGGUGAAUUUUAUGGUUUGGAGCAAAACAGUAUAUCUUGCUAUAGCUAUUUUUAAAAAGAAACUAUGUGCCCCUCAAUUUACUUUCCUUGAAGCAACAUGGAGCCAAAAAGGACAACGUAGCUUAAAAGACCAAGAUAAUUUUGGACUGUGUGUGUGGAGGGGUUUCGUGAAGCCCUCGUUUCUUUUUUCAUGGUUGUUAUUUUAUGACAAGAGUCGAACCUGUGUUAAUUGGCAGACAUUCUCUAUCAAUGCGUUUUGGAUGGCGCCAAUUCCUUUUUCUCAGUCUAGCUCUCUUCAGUUCUCUCGCUCUGUCUCAUCACCCAGUAACCAUUUGGUGGCAUUUAGAGGCAGGGUGCAAAGGCAUUUUCUUUUUGUAAGUUUGAACAGAGUUUGGGGCCCCUGCAUGAUGAGAGGAGAAAAAUUGAGGAGAAUUCUCAUAAUAAGAUUCGUAGAAUCUUACUAUUCAGGAAUAAUGGACUCCCCCAUCUUCUCCUCUCUCCACUGAAAUCACCUGCAGUGAGGAAGAGCAGAGGCUGGAUUCCACCAUCAGACUCCAGGAGAAUAGAAGCGAGCUGUCCCAGCCCACCUGUCAUGGGGAGAGCGUGGGCAGAGGAGGGAAGAGAUUUCCAGUAGACGAUUGAAAAGGGCAAGAGAGAGGCCAACUGAUUUAAAUUUUUUUAUGAGGUUUCCUAAGAUCUUGCCUGCUUAUCACUUCUCAUUGAAGUUCUGAGAGCAGUCUGGCUCUCACAUAGGCUUCCCCCCUCCUUUGCUUCCACCGUGGCCCUCUCCCCACACCCUGGCUCAUUUCCCACUGCGAUACCUGGAAGUCAGCCCUUUGUACAAGUUAGGGACCCAAUCAAAGCCGGCAAAUGGAAUGUGUAGGUUAUUUACGGAUUGUUGCCGAGCAAAUUUAAUCACCGGCCUGCUGUAACUCCAUCAUCAUUUCCCUUGACGAGAACAUCACAGACUUAAAUUUUGCAAAGGAGGGAGAAGUGGCCAUAAUCCAACUAUAACAGUAACAGCCAAUUCCGCUGUGAUGGGAAGAGGCACUGUGUUAGUGCCAAUACAUUAACCAACUUUGCAAUUGCAGCGGGGAAACUGAUUGCCAUUACAAUUCCCAUGGCACUCCUCCACGAAGGUAACAGAACUGCUUGAAUGAGCAUUCAUUUCCAGCUCGGCUGCAGUGUGUGUGUGUGUGUUGGUGUGUGAAUGAGAGAGAGAGAGCAAAUGACUGGUUAAGACUUGAGAGCAUGGAGGGCUAGACAUUUCAGAAUCAUUCCUUCACCACUAGUUGUGUGAUCUUGGGCAAGUCAAUCAGCUGCUAUGAAACUUGGGCUGUAUUUGCAAAAUGAGAAUAAUAAUAAUAAUACCUACUAGUUGAUUAAACAGGGCCACAAAUUCUUUCACACUUCUCCCAUCAGGAGAUGAAGUUUAUGUCCCCUCCUCUUGAAUCUACGUGGGCGCUGUGACUGCUCUGACUGAUAGAAUAUGGCAGAAGUGACACGCUGCCAAUUUCUGGGCAAGAUUGGCAGCUUCUGUGUCCUGGCUUGCUGGGAAUCCUGAGCUGCAACUUAAGAAGUCUGACUGUGCUGAAGCUACCAAGCUGGAGAGGCCAUCUGUCAGCGUUUCAGUCGACUGUCCCAGCAGACCUCACUCUUCCAGCAGUCCCAACACGCCAGGCAUUGAAAGACGCCAUCUUGGUUUCUCCAAACAAGCUUACUGCCAGCCGAAUACUCUAGGUGACCUCAAUUGAUGUCAUGUGGAGCAGGAGAAUUGCCUUGCUGAGCCUUGUUAGAAUUCUUUGGCAGCAAAUUCCUGAGGAAGUGCUCGUGCUGGCCCCUCCCCAGCUCCAGCUUUGAAACAGAACUGGGUUCAGCAACUAAAAUGAAAGCACACACCAUCCCGAGCAAUUGCGUCAACAAAAGAAAAAAGAAAAAAAGAGGUAAAAGAAUCCAAGUGGAUUAAAUAAGUGACCUUAGCGUUAAAGCAACUUUAACUUUCUUUCCUGUGGAGGCUUUCCUUCUAGGAUAUCAUAGGGAC
ensembl:lncRNA